rnacentral:lncRNA from 1 species
UUUAGCUUUAACAAAAAUGUUCUUUAAGUAUUUUUGUUUUCUAUUUGUUUUAUAACCUAAUCCAGCCUUAUCAUAUACAGCUUUUUGAUUAUCAAGAAUCAUAUUUAAUUUGGUUGAACUAAGUGUAAACUUAUCUACUAAGGAUUUAUAUUUUUCAGCAUCUUCUUUUAACUUGACAUUUUCAGCAAUUAGAUUCUUGGUUUCAUUUGUGAGUUUCCUACUUAAUGUUUCAUAGUUAUGAGAUAGUUUUAACUUAUCUUUGAUAAGAGAUCGAUUUUCUUCUUUUAGAACUUUAUUUUUAUUGAUUAGUUUUUUUAUGUUCUUCCAUUAGUUAUAAAAAUGCAUCAUGUAAUUCAUCAACAGUAAAAUCACAU